CGUUCUGAGAGGCUCAGUCUCGUUCGAACUGCGCCCCAAUCGGGAGGCUCAAGGCGAAGUUUAGCGGCUGAAACGAAUAGUAAACGAUCCAUACGACAACGAACCCAACGAGGGAGGCGCAGGCGGUGGAGGAGGGGGAGGAGAUGUAGACGACUGUGGAGGUGGGUUGCAGGAGUAGAAGGCGCUGUGGAGGGACUGCGACCCAACUCAACUCCAAUUGCAAGUCGCGGCAAUCGCAGUCUCAAAUUAUAUGCCAGCCGCAGCAUUUCCAUAAGUUUUUGGUGAAAACUGGCUGCGAACAAAGCGAAUUUCAAAUGUGAGCCAAUCACAAAAACUACGGCAAAAAA